rnacentral:rRNA from 1 species
GUUGGUAGGCAUUACCCAACCUUGAACCUUCGGAGCGUCUUUACCGUUUGUUGGCGGCCGCUGGCGGUGGGUCAGUCAGGUUGGUGGCGCGGAGCAUUACUCUUUAUGAUUUUGUUGUUCCCAGAUUGACGUUUCGAUGGCGUUGCUUUCUUUAUGGUGAUUCGGCGGACUUCUUUGUAGGGGCUAUCAAAAGACCUUUCGGGGGAUGUAAUCAUGCAAUGAGGGGAGGAAGAGGAAGGGAGAAGCGGAGGCUCUAGAGAGGGGCGAGGCCGCUCGCCUCGAAGACUCUUCCGAAGGCCUACGCGCGAGGGGGCUACGAGCACGGCUUCGCGUAGUUAAUGCACCGAGGCUACGAGCGGAGGCGGGAGUAGGACGAGGAGGAGGAGAGGCCGAUGAAGCUCGAGGGGAGAUAUUGGAGGAGGGAGAGGUGGGUCAAGAGGGGGUGGCAGGGGCGUCGGCCGCGGUGACCCUCGGCGGCGAAGCCCUGUCGCGAGCUGAGGCAGCCGAGGGCGCUCGCCAGCCGAAAAUGCAGGUGGGAGCGGCGCAAGUCGCGAACCCUGCGGCGGCAGCCCACGGGGGCGUAGGCGCGGUUCUAGCCGCGGCGAUUGCGCUGCUGCGGGAGACGGUACCGAAGGUAGUGGCCUCCUCGCCCCACCCCUCCGCGCUCCACGCUCCUCUACUUCUGCGCCGUGCACCCCCACAAGCAGUUCCCCACCUGCACCUAGGGGCUGAGCGAGCUGCCACACAUGUGUACGGCAACACCUCACUCGACGCACACCUCGUUCCGGCGGCGUCAGCAGCUGGCGGGGCUACGCGACGAGAAGCUCCCGCGAUGCGGCGGUGACGUCUCUUACUUUCCAGACGGAGAAGCACAAAUAGACCUGGACCUCCGAUCAUCCUUUGGUUGACCAAAACUCCUGUAAAAAUAUCCAAUGGUACGAUUACUACUAAAUGUUCAUUGUAUACGACCUUUUAGAAAGGUGUGAUCGGCCUCAAUGGUACAUAGGUGUCUUUUCUGUUUACUACGUGAAUAGAUAACCAGUAGAAGUUCCACAGAAGGAGUGUCUCUGUUCGAACGUCUUCUAAAGGAGAGUAACCACGGUGUGGUAAGGAAGCCUUUUACAAACUUAUUACAACCACCAGGACUGUACCGUGAUAGGUACAUAGGCCAAACGAGUUUGUUACCGUUACCUAGUGGUGUGACCACCCUAGUGGAUGUGACACGUUACAGUGUAAUGUUCAAACAAGAACGUUAGCUCUUGUGGUUCUGUCUUUCAAUACACUGUCUCUUCGACAAGAUACGCAACCUCCGACCCAGUCACGGUUAUAUGAAACCACGUGGGUUACAGACCCUAAAGUAAGGAGGGUUAAGGCGUUAACUACGGAGGUUUAAGUCGAGAGAAUUUCUUGACCGUAGUAUACACUUUCGUGAACGCUUACUAGGCCAUCGCAUACGUCUUAUGGUACGUACCUCCGCUACACCACAAGAGCCGUUGAAGCCGUCCUGUGCACUUUACUCGGAACUAUGUGACGGAACGGCUGAGACGCUUGAUCAAUCGUUCUCUCCACCAUCUUCACGUCUAAGUAAAACUAACUGACAAACAACAAUCGAGUAAGUAUCAUUGGAAAGAAAACAAAUAUGAUCCACUAUUGUAACACAGAAUGUAUAUGAAACUAAGUUACUCUUGCCUUACUGGACGUUGUUUACCAGACGGACUCACUACUCUAAUAUUUCUACUUCACCAGUAUAAUACCUUACCGUUGUCGACUAUAAGAAGAUUCUGGUGUGUCUGGCGAAAAAAUAUAUAAGAAAAGAAUUAGAACAAAACAGAGCAACUCACAUCAAUUCACCACUUUGACAAAAGAACUGCCUCUCCAAGUACAAAUAUCCACCACUUUGAGUGUUUAGGUGAAGUAGAAGAAUUAUACUUAUGUAAUAUCCCAGUAUACUGGCAAAGAAUAUUCCUCCACGACUGUUUAACUUCUUUACACAACCCAAGAACAUAUAUACAAAGAGGUGAUGAACAGUUGUGUAACGCUUAGUUAAUAAAAACACAUCUUUGAUC